rnacentral:rRNA from 1 species
AUGUCCAUUGUCACUGCCCCAGCCCGUCUACCCCUUCCCCUAGGACGGCAAUGGAGCUCGCUUGAGAUGCCCGCCGUGGUUGGAGGCGGCCCUUCUGGCGUCGGAAGGUCGAGCGCCAGAUCUCAGCCCACGGCCGCAGUAGCCUCACCCUUCUCGUUCAGCUUCGACUUCUCCAACGCCUCCAGCUACCGCAUAGAAGACCUCAAAUUAGAGGGCAACGCGGCCGUGCACGACAACCUGGUCGACGUCACCUGCAACUCGUUCGGAGAGAGCCCCACGCACUGCACGGGACGCGUGUCGUACGCGCACCCGGUGCCGUUCUACGACAGCGCCACCGGCGAGGUGGCCAGCUUCCAAACGCGCUUCACCUUCGCCAUCAUGUUGGAGUUGGAAAACAAUAGCAAGACCGUCAAGGGUGAUGGCAUGGCUUUCUUCCUCGCCUAUUACCCAUCAGCCAUGCCGCCGCACUCAGGCGGGGGAAACCUUGGCCUGCUGCCCUCUGGCGACGACGGCAAGAGCCUGACCGCCUUCGGAAACGACCGGUUCGUCGCCGUGGAGUUCGACACGUUCAACAACUCCUGGGACCCCGACAACACGGUGGACCACAUCGGCAUCGACAUCAGCUCCAUGAGUUCGGUGAAGACGACAAACUUGACCAGCUUUAGCCUCAACGGCUCCAUGACGACCACCAUCACCUUCGACAACACCACCAGGAUGCUGGUCGCCGACCUGCAGUUUCAUGGCAAUAAUACUUCUCGCCCCGUCCAGGUCAGCGCGCAAUUACCCGAUCCGGUCAGCACCUUGCUCCCGCCUCAGGUGGCAGUGGGGUUUUCCGCAGCCACAGGCAAUGAAAUGGAGCUGCAUCAAAUACUGUCAUGGUCCUUCGACUCCUCACUUGCUCCGCCCCGCAAAGGUCAUGACAUGAAGGCAGCGCUUAUUGGAGGGUCAAUUGGAGGAGCCGUAGCUUUGGUGGUUAUGGUGUGA